UACACCACACCCAUCUAUAAUUGCUCUCUUUCUCCCAAAGACUUGGAUGCAAACAAAAUUUUGCUUAUUGUAUAGCCCAACAAAAUUAAUGUGAAAUGUCAAGUCUAACGGAUGCAAUAAAUUACAUCGAAGGUAAUUCAAUCUCCCGUUCUUUUUUUUUUUUUUUCUUAGCAUAUUUGUUUUGAUUUUUUUAAACAGUUGUUAGAAAUAAUUACGUAUUGUUGUAUCCGUAUAUUACACAAAUUUAACAAGGUAUCUUUGAUGAUUUGUUGCAUGAAACAUUUUUGUAACUGUAAUGCAUUAAUUUGAGGCUUGAUUAUUGAAUAACCAAGACUUUCUCGGUAGCAGUUUGAUUGAUUAUUUGUUGCGUGGAAUAUAAUAAAACUUAAUGACGUAAAAUAAGAUAUUUUUGUAUGUACAACAAGUUAUACGUACAAUAAGUGGACAAAUAAAAAGUAUUUUUAUUCUAUCAAUUAACGCUUUUAGUUAAUAGUAUGUGCUGUUGGUAUGUAUCAUCACAUCAAUUAAUCAAGUAUUUAGGAGACUUACGGCAUAAAGGAGAUAGAAAUGCAAAUACAAAUAAUUAGAUAAAAGUAAAAAUAUUGUAAUCGUGGUACAUUGAAAUUUGAAAAUAUCUUUGCAUAAGGUCUUUACAUAGAAAAACGUAAGCCUUUAAUGUAAGGGUUCAAACUAUUUUCCAUGUACAUAUUUAGUUAGUAUCGUUUUUUUUUUUUAUCAAAUCAUACUUCCUUAAAAUGAUUAUUUUUAUACAAAAUAGUCACUCUAGCCGGCUAUUAUUUGUUUAACCUGUUAUCAUGACCACUCCAACGAGUCGGUGGUCAUCUUCAAACGUUGUUCUUAAAAAAAACUUUAAUGUAUGAGUUAAAAAAAAAAAAAAAAAAAGCAAAAGGAAUUCAUGACAUGAGAAUUCGAUGAUGAUGGUGGGGGUGCAUUAGAUAUGUUCAGUUGGUCUCAACAUGUUUCGGUAGUUCCAUCGGUAAUGAAGAUCCAUGAACCAUAUCACUCCAUGAUGGUGGGGUGUCAGAGAUCAAUUUCCUUAAUCAUUUCAUGGGAGAAGUGGAGAACCUCUUCUUUAUCCUUGCGAUUCCUCGUAUGCUUUAAAGUUUAAUCCAUCAUUGUUUUCUUGAAGGACAACCGGAAAAUGGUCCAACACCAACAACACCUUAAUUAAUUAAUUUCUUCUUUUUCCACACGCCUUCAACAAUUAAUGGUCCAACACCACCAUCACCUAGCUUAAUCUUCCAUCUUCACUCACCUACACACACUAAUGUCGUGGAGAGGGCACAAAGGUUACUAUUUCAGUACAUGAAAAGGAUGGGUCGGGCUUGAAGGGUCAAGCUAUCUUGAUUGGCAUCUCUGGUAUUCAUUAGUUUGUGUUCCCCACUUACAAAGCUUUGAAAACAAAGAUGUCUUCUUGAAACCCAGAACAUAAGAAAAAGAAACAAUAACCAGCUGGUUAGAUGGGAUAUUGCUUUGGCCGGAAGAAAACCUAUUCAUGAAAUGUUGACUCCCUUUUGUUUUCCAAAUGCUAGAAGAAAACCCAGAUCGGCGGAUUCACCAGAAAAUGGAAAGCUAAUGAGCAGCUUGUUUCCACGUGUUGCCACCUAUGCGCCACGUCAGCUUCACACCCAUCCUACCACCAACCCACUAAACCUUGGAGAUGGUUACCACUACACAAAUUCCUUUUUUUUAUUAUUUUUUAUUUUUUAACAAUAUUUUAAAUAAAAAACAAAUUACAAACCAUAAUUAAUAUAAAAAACACAAAUUAAAAAACAAAAACACACGUUACAUUAAAAUUAAAAACACAUUACAUUAAUAUAAAAAACACAAACUAAAAUUCUUAAAUUCUUAAAAAAAACAUAAAAAAAUUAAAAUCCUAAAUUACUUAAAACCAUAAAUAAAAUCCUAAAUUUCUUAAAACCAUUAAGAUUAGAACCUAAAGUUCAUAUUUUUCUCGGACUUGUCGUUGAAUUUUAAGAAAUGUCGUAAGAUUUUCCGGGUCGAGAUCCGGUUGGGGCUUUGUGUUUAAGAUUUGAAGAUAGGUAAGAGCUAUUUUUUGGCAGUUAGCGGCCUCCGACGAUUCGUAUUUUUUUUCUAGAAAAACUAGAGCUUUAUCUAUGGAUGUCGCAAGCUCGCUGUCGCUAGUUGCCGGUGCUUUUCCGCUUGAAGACGCUCCUUUUCUCGCUUUGUCUCGUCCCGGUGGUCGACGAAGUUGGACGUUCGGUGGGCCCUCCCCCUCAGUGGCAUCGAAGUCAUCGUUGAGGUCGAGUCCAAAACCCACGUCCGACUCGGACGUUCUUGCCCUUUUGUUGGAACCGGUUGUAGAUCCCGAAUGCGCCAUUUCCGGAUAUAGAACCCAUUUUGGACCGUUACGACAAACUUCACACGCUUUUUAGUGGCCGAACGGUUUACCGUUGGUGGUAACUUUGUAUUCGUAGGACGCGGUCGCUAAAUAGUUGAAGUCGUUGCUACCACUUCUAUGCAUAUUUUUAAGCUUGUCAAUUAUGUCAUUGAAUUUGGUGCAAGCUGCUCGUAAGUCACGCCAUUUUGCGUUGAUCGAGUCGUACGUCCGCUCCGUUUUCUUUCCUAAUAACGCAUGGAAAUGAUCUAGAAUACGACACCAAAAACUUUGACCCGAUUGUGCGUUGGCGACAUCCCCGUCUUGGGAUAUGAAAAUCCAAGCUUUUACUAAAGCUUCAUUCUCGUCUUCGUUCCAUGCGUUAGUCUUUUUUUUUCUUGGAUCUUUGGUUUUUUUUGCCUUCGACGAGUUGGUUGUUGUGUUUCUUGGACUCGUUCGUCGUCGUCGUCAUUGUCAAGAUUUAUAGGUUGAGAUUGAGAUGGUUAAAAUUGUUGAGAAGGUUGUUGAAAUUGUUGGGAAGGUUGUUGUUGAAAGGCUUAGAAUUGAGGUUGAUUGAAUUGUUGUGGUUAUUGUUGAUAGAAAGUUUGUGGGUAUGAAGUGGUGAAUAAAGUUUGUUGUUGGAUUGGAGAGGUUAGCAAUUGUAUGUAACUAACAUUUGCAUUUGGAGUGUUGGGGUGUUUGGAUUUGAAUCCAUGUUGAGAGAAAAAAAAAAUGAGAGAUGAGGUUUUUUUGUAGAAGGUAAUAAAAUAUAGAUAGUGUUUUUUGAAAUGUAAAAUGUAAGUAGAAUAGUGGAUAAUUUAUAGGUGUAAAUAUUUGUGUUUAAAUGGUAAAAAGUAAUUUUUUUUUAUGUUAGAAACGGCUAUAUAGCCGUUAGUUUACAAGUUCCGACCGUUACAAAUUAAACGAAUUGUGAUUGGGCGUCCACGUGCGUCUUUGGCACCACGUCACAUGCACCCCACCGACUUUGGGGGCGGUGUUCACGCGUGGGAGAGGUUGUCACCUCAGCCCAAGACGCAUGAAACUACCCCGAUACUGGAUAGCCUUGGUCACUCGAGUUGUGAAUUUAGGGUCCCGUCAUCUCACCACCAAUUCACUAUGAUUAUCACUUAAAAAAAUUUAUUUUAUUUCUUUUAUGAUUAAAUUAAUUGAAACCAUAUUAGUCAACAAUUAAAGUUACAUUAAUCGAAAC
rnacentral:lncRNA from 1 species